GGGGACACAAAGGGGGAGUUUGCAGGCGUGGCAGGGUGAAAACAAGCCUACAUGGGAAAUGUGUGCAAAUUAGAGAAGACGUGCGAGGAAACUGGAGAAUCCUUGACGAGAUGAAGGCGCUGGCUCUGCUCCGCGCCGCGGUGGCGAAGGCUCCCAAACUUAGGGGGCGCCCGGCUACAGCGCGGGAGCGCGGGCGGCCACCAUCGCGGGGCUCCGCGGCGGUGGGGGUAGGAGGCGGCCGCCCGAGCGGUCCCCGGAGCCCGGCGCCCACACGGGCCCCGCGGCGCAGAGGGCGUCUCCGAGAGCAGGGGCGCCCGCAGGCCGGGGUGCGCGGGCCCCGGGGCUGACAGUCGGAAUCGGAGUCGGAGUCGGAGCCCGAGCCGAGCCGCGCGGCUCUCGCUUCCUGCGAGUCCCAGCGCAGCGAGCAGGCGGCGGCGAGGACUGACGGCGGCCCCCGGGGAAGAGGAGCGGCGGCCGGGCUGCGAGACUGGGGCAGCCACCCGAGCGAGGAGGGAAAGGGGAGGCUUCACAAACCCACACAACUGAAAGAAAGAAAGCAAGCGGUGGGGAAAGGGAGGCGUCUGGUGCCACCACGCUGCGCUCCGGCUCUGUGCACUUCCCGGCUGGGCCGCCGCGGCGGCUGCGGUGAUUUAUGGAACCAGCAAGAGAGGCGGGGAAAUUCCCCCGGUUGCCCCUCCUCUCUCUCCCUGGCUCCCGCCUCAGAACCUGCCCCCCGGGACGCCGGGGGCCGGGGGACCAGCCUCUCUCUCUGCUCGGGGACCGGCCCAGCCCGGGCAGGGGAGCCCACGGACCUUCCCGUGGCUGGAGACGGAGACCCCCGCCAGCGCUCCCCGCCUCCGUCCGCGCCAGGGAGCCCACCCGGCCCAGGUUCCAGCCAUCGAAAAGUCCUUUAAGUUCUAGGACGCUGGCUGUCUGCCUGGCAGCGGUUGGGGAAGAAGGGGACUGCCAUGUGUAGGUCCACUCCCUCUCCUUGAUGUUAUUCAUCACAAUGGCUAGCUAGCGUUCCACCCACAGAUUUCUGUUGCAACCAGCCACCGUGUGCCCGGCACUGGGCUCGGGGGUGUGCACAUUAUCCUUUAAUCUCCGCGACAUGCCAUAGGAGGUACGUAUCUUUAUCCCAAUUUUUUAGGUAACAAAGACUGAGGCUUAGAGAGGUGGAAUAAAUUGCCAGAGGUCACCCAGGGGAUAAGAAACAAAUCCAGAGUUUAAGCACAAGUCUUACUCCAAGGCUAUUGCUCCUAAAUACGAUACAGUUCUCUCUGUCUCUCUUUGGAAAUGAACCAUCUGAUCCCAUCAAAAGCAAGAAAAAAGAAAAAGAACGACUGAACCGGAGUCCACCGCGCACACACCUGUUCUCCCAAGCAUGGAGAGGCAAGGUUAACCUUCCUGUUUGUCCCUGACUACUGGCUCAGGCUCGCUGAGAAAUCACCUGUUGGAAGCACCUGGAACAAGUCAACCUGCUGUGUGUGGAGAACAGCCACUCUCCCUUCCAAGCCCUGUGUGGUUGCUGCUUGCAGGUUCCUGGAGAACAGAGCCAACACUGGAAGUCUAAGGUUCUUCUUUUUGAGGACUCUCGACCACAUCUAUGCCUUCAAUUAUUACCAAACACGAGUUUAUCAUAC
rnacentral:lncRNA from 1 species